GAUGAACGCUGGCGGCGUGCUUAACACAUGCAAGUCGAACGGAAAGGCCCAAGCUUGCUUGGGUACUCGAGUGGCGAACGGGUGAGUAACACGUGGGUGAUCUGCCCUGCACUUCGGGAUAAGCCUAGGAAACUGGGUCUAAUACCGGAUAGGACGAUGGUUUGGAUGCCAUUGUGGAAAGUUUUUUCGGUGUGGGAUUAGCUCGCGGCCUAGCAGCUUGUUGGUGGGGUAAUGGCCUACCAAGGCGUCGACGGGUAGCCGGCCUGAGAGUGUGUACGGACACACUGGGCUGGAGAUACGGCCCAGACUCCUAAGGGAGGCAGAAGUGGGGAAUAUUGCACAAUGCGAGCAAGCCUGAUGCAGCGACGCCGCGUGGGGGAUGAGGGCCUUCGGGUUGUAAACUCCUCUCGCUAGGGACGAAGCGUUUUUGUGACGGUACCUGGAGAAGAAGCACCGGCUAACUACGUG
rnacentral:rRNA from 1 species